UCUCACAGGCUUUCCCCACCUCACAGAGAGAAAUUUGAUCAGUCCUCUUCUGCAGCCAACCAAAAUGUCUCCUGCCCUCGUACCAAAGUUUUUCUCUCAGCCACUCGACAGUUUCCUUCGGUCUUUGCUGCCUUCGCUCUGCACUCUUCCAGCUACUCAGAGCAAACAAAAACGAGACUGAGACGAGGAUUGUUUAUGAAGAAGAUAUGCAUGACUUGUCUUUCAGUUGUGCCACAGGACAGGAAGGGAGGUGAGAAAUGGCCGUCCUUUUUCGUGAGAGCCAAAUAACAAGCGGACCGCCGUGAUGCUAACCUCCACCUUCUCCUGACUCUCUCUUGCACUCGUGUUGUUCAAACCAUAUCUGAUUGCAUCUGAAUUAUGAGUCUCACCAGUUGAACGCACAGUUGCCGGCAACCUUUGAUGUCACCUUCCCACGGACAGAUUUACUGAGUUGGCUGACACAUUCCUUCGACAACCAGCUGCGCUGCGCUUUCUGUCAUGGCAUGUUGUCCAAACUAACCACAGCAGAGAGGUCAUCUGAGGACAAGCAGAAAAAUCACACCAAGCACGACAACACAUGGACUGUUUGAUCUCAGGUCAGUGGACAUAUGUGGACUGUUCUGGACAUAGCUGUGCAACCAGCCAACUAUUUUUAUGUAAACUGUGUAAAUUCGUGAGGUGCUUCCACUCACGUUUACGUACAAUAAUUAUACAAACAAGCUGAGCAUUACACACAGUGGUGACACGGUAUUUGAGUCAUGAAUAAAAUCUCGAAUGUGUUUUUGCUGCGGGGCAUUUUAGUAACGCAGGUAUAAAUGGCUGACGAAGGCAGCUUGGUGUUUAGCAUUGCACAUUCUUCCCUCUUCUUUUACCAUCAGAUUCACUGCUAUCACGUAAUUAUAGCGUAGAGCGUAGCAAUGUGCGCUGUUUUGUGUGGGUUUUUUUUUAACUAGCUGAAUUUUUGCAUGCGUGAUCUUGUGCAAUCAAACACCUAGAAAUGAGGAUGCCUUAAAGUCGGUUUACAUUUUUCCUCUAUCACGUCACAUCCAAGCACUCCGCUGAUCAAAAUAAACACUGCUCGCUGCAAAGCAUGUGCAAAAGAGUCUUUUCAACUGUCAGCUGAGGUCUCCACUAGCGUUCCCGUCUGAAAGGUUUUGCUGUAGGAAAACUGAUGUGUUUAAAGUGACUGCUGAGCUCAGUCCAGAGCGCUGGCUGUGAUCUUCACGCUGGAAGCUGGCAGAGAGGCUGAAAAGACAAAACACCGCUGUGAGAAAAAGCACAAGAGUGAGCAAAAUAUCCAAAAAGACAUGUUUAAUGGACAUAUUUAAAGCAGUGGUUUGCCUGUUCUGUUGCAGAGUAUUAAGUCACAGUGGAGUUUAAUGCAAUGUUGGAUCAGCGUACACAUAUUAGUAUAAAACUGACUGUAAGGUCUACACAUACCAGCCUGUUUUAACCACAAAUCUGCUAAACAUUAUGUUAUUAUUAUUAUUUUUUCGCUAGUUUUUAUUGAGGAAAAAUUGAAUACAUGUGCACAGUGAUGGAGAGUUUACAUUUCACCUUUGUGUUUACUACCUAUUUACCCUGCUCUGUAUCAUCUUAUAACUAAGCCAACCUACAUAACAAAAUCCACAAUCGUCACAGAAUCAAAAUAAACACUAACUGGCCACCUUAAUAGGUACAUCCAUGAAACCUUAUGCAAUCCACUACAGCAGGCUCUGAUAAAUUCUGCUUUUACAGUGCUUCUGCAUUUUAAAUUUUUGGUGACAUUGUCAAAAAUUAUAGGAAUAUGUUUAUUAUUGAGGUCAUAGUGGUGGUAAACUAGACGUUUAAAAGUGUUUGCAAUAUUUUGUCCAUCACAUUAACAUACUUGAAAAUGCAGAAGCUUUAUAAAAGUAGAAUUUAAGGCGGAACUGUUGGAUUGGAUUGGAUUGGAUUUCACAAGUCUACUGGAGAAAGUGGUCGACAAAAUCAGCUGCUAGGUCUUGCACUCUCCAGAAAUCUCCGAACUUUGGCCUCCUAUAGAAGAGAUUAUGGGUUACCAGUGGGAGCUGAAUGUAGCUGAAACUGAAGUUCAUAAAUUUCUGUAAACGGCUACCGAUCACAUAGCCAGGAUGUGCAUGCAGGUGGCUGUCCACUGAAGCAGUGUUUUCCUAAGAAUAAAUAAGCCUGCAAAUAUAACAACACUGGCGUGAGAGCAUGUCCAAUUUGAUAUUAUUUCAACAAAAGUAAAAUCAUUCCUCGAAAUAUUCUGAUUUGAUUUUGCUUUUAAUCAUCCUUGUCAUUACAUUUUAGUGGUAGGUCAACCUGUUAUUGAACACGGAGCCACUGCUUUCUGGUAAGCCGGUGAUAUUUGUGCAGAUGUUGACCUUAUUUCACAACUGGAUACCAGUUUCUCAAUUUUCUGCUGUGAGCUCUUUUCUGCAACAGCAUUCCUUGUCCUCCUGUUACCUCACAUAAAGAGGAUUUCUAAGAACACAGAGAGCCACAGAAUUUAAAUUUGAGAAAAAGGAGAUGUCUGUACUGCAUAAACACUCUCCAAACAAACACCUACACAUGCAAAUAGACUAAACAAAAGAACCCGGGUAGAAAAUAGAAGGGGUUAAGACCCUUAAAACUUAGCCUGAAAGAUCUCUUGCUCCUAUCUAUUGGCCUCAAGUUUACUCAUGUCAAGCUUGAACAAGGAGCAAAGCUGCCACGAACAAAGAAGGUUCAGUGAGAUGUUACAUCACUGUCAGUGACUGUGAAACACCUGGGCACCACCGUCUGUAACAAUCUGCCAUAAAUAAACAGCAACAACAGGCAGGAUGAGGAACAGAGAGCAGCGUGAGGAGGAGAGGUGCGUAUUGUCGAUGCAAAUGCUGCUCUUUGCGUCUCAAAUUAAAACCCAUCACUCUUCACGACUUGUAAAUAAAUACACCCUACGUCGUCCCAUGCCAACACACACUCACGUCUUAAAAUACCGCGGCUCUGACGACUGAGAUAGCACUGCUCAUCAAAUUUAUGCGUGAGCGAGCCCAGGCUAAAUUUGCAGUCAGGGAGCCAACUUACGCAAUCCUCCCUGGUCUCCCUCCUGUCUAUACAAUGGCUUGAAAAUCUCAGUUCUCAAACCAUCCCAACCCCUUCUCAGAUCCCACCCCCACACUAUACACUACAACUUCGGCACUAUUCCUGUGCCAGCCUCCGCCGCUGUGGCACAAAAAUACCAGCACCUCCAAGAACAGACGCCAAGCCUGUCAGAGCAUCAUCACAUCCCACAGGACAGCUGGGGGGGAGAGAGGAGGACGAGGAGGGGAGGAUAAGGAGGGGGGAGGAGAGCAGGUGGAAGGAAGAGUACAGCUGCUGUCGAGAGAAGAAGAAUCAACAGAGAGGAUACGGCUGCCCUGUGUGAGGGAGGGAGGACGAGAUUUACAGUUUUAUCCUGGUAGAUCAGCCGCAAACUGCUUCUCUUUAUUUUGAUCUGAAGGUGCCUGAGUGAGACGCUGCUGCUCUCAGGAAGUUAGUGCUGUUGUACUGCAAUAUUUAUGAAGGCUGUUACAGAUAUUAGUCAUAAUAUCUGUCAAACCAAAUGCAAAUACUUCCAAAUUAUAGGAAGGAUUUAUUAACUUUUGGAAAAUACCUGCACGUUUAGGAUUUGCAAGCAGUAAAAAUGUUGACUGUAAACUCAUGAUUGACUGGGUAGUAAAACACAUAUUAGUAUUUUGCAUUAGUAAAUACUUGUAAAUGUACUUAAAACAUAAUGAUAGAGGAUAAUAAAGCAUUUGUUAAUGUGUAAAUUUCGCUGAUAAAUGCUAAAUUGGUGGGUUAAAGUAAAAUGCUAGAGAGGGAUAUUUUCUUUCCUAAGCUGGACAGAAGAAUACAAAGACUAUUUUUCACUCUCACUGACAUAAAGUUUUCAGGAUAUACCAGACUCGAUGCCAUAAUAACUUUUACAAUUACCUUAUAUGAAUGUAUGUCUUUUAUAGUUGUUCACUUUACAAUGUGUAUAAAUAUUAAUAUGUGCAGACACACAGGUUAUCUUCAUUUAACUCAUUCAUUUCAGUGUGGACACUUACAAAAGCACAUAAUUUCAUGUAAAUUUUAUUUUUGGAAAUUCAAAAAGCACUAAAUAAAUGAUCACAAGUGAAAACAUUUA